UGGUAAUGCCGGAUGCUCCAUCACACCGCAUGGUGUGUUGGGAAAGCCUUUGCGGCAUGGGAUGGGGUCGCGUCCUAUCAGCUUGAUGGCGGGGUAACGGCCCACCAUGGCUUCGACGGGUAGCCGGCCUGAGAGGGCGACCGGCCACAUUGGGACUGAGAUACGGCCCAGACUCCUACGGGAGGCAGCAGUGGGGAAUAUUGCACAAUGGGCGCAAGCCUGAUGCAGCGACGCCGCGUGAGGGAUGGAGGCCUUCGGGUUGUAAACCUCUUUUGUUAGGGAGCAAGGCAUUUUGUGUUGAGUGUACCUUUCGAAUAAGCACCGGCUAACUACGUGCCAGCAGCCGCGGUAAUACGUAGGGUGCAAGCGUUAUCCGGAAUUAUUGGGCGUAAAGGGCUCGUAGGCGGUUCGUCGCGUCCGGUGUGAAAGUCCAUCGCUUAACGGUGGAUCCGCGCCGGGUACGGGCGGGCUUGAGUGCGGUAGGGGAGACUGGAAUUCCCGGUGUAACGGUGGAAUGUGUAGAUAUCGGAAAGAACACCA
rnacentral:rRNA from 1 species